rnacentral:rRNA from 1 species
UGCGUAGGCGGCGCGGUAAGUCGGGUGUGAAAUCUCGGAGCUUAACUCCGAAACUGCAUUCGAUACUGCCGUGCUUGAGGACUGGAGAGGAGACUGGAAUUUACGGUGUAGCGGUGAAAUGCGUAGAUAUCGUAAGGAAGACCAGUGGCGAAGGCGGGUCUCUGGACAGUUCCUGACGCUGAGGCACGAAGGUCAGGGGGAGCAAACG